GACGAACGCUGGCGGCGUGCUUAACACAUGCAAGUCGAACGGUGAAGCGCCUUCCUUUUUGGUGGGUGUGGAUGAGUGGCGAACGGGUGAGUAACACGUGAGUAACCUGCCCCCUUCUUCUGGAUAACCGCAUGAAAGUGUGGCUAAUACGGGAUAUUCUGGGUCUGUCGCAUGAUGGGUCUGGGAAAGAUAUUGUUUCGGUGGGGGAUGGGCUCGCGGCCUAUCAGCUUGUUGGUGGGGUGAUGGCCUACCAAGGCGGUGACGGGUAGCCGGCCUGGGAGGGUGGCCGGUCACACUGGGACUGAGCCACGGCCCAGACUCCUACGGGGCGCAGAAGUGGGGGAUAUGGCACAGUGGGCGAUAGCCUGAUGCAGCGGCGCCGCGGGAGGGAUGGAGGCCUUCGGGUUGUGAACCUCUUUCGCCAGUGAAGCAGGCCUGCCUCGUUUGUGGGUGGGUUGACGGUAGCUGGAUAAGAAGCGCCGGCUAACUACGUG
rnacentral:rRNA from 1 species